CAAUCAGGGUUUUUGAAACUGCUUUGUUUUGUUGUGCCUCCUUUCCGUUUUAUAUACCCCUACCUUUUUUCACGCCAUCACCACUCCUGAACCACUUGAAAAUUUCUUUUUUUAUGGAUCGAAGUAAGUUCUAUAUAUUUUUUUUCUCUCUCUUUCUUAUCUGUGAUGUGAGUUGUGUGCGGCCUCAUCUGUAUCUUUUUUAUUUCAGAUUUUUUAUUCAGUUAUAAUGGUAGAUAAUUAUUUGUGGUAUGUCUCUGGUACUCUGUUUGUUUAAUCAAAUCGUAAAAAUAGCAAAAUUUUGAUAAAUCGAUUAAAUGACAUGGAUAUCAAAUGAGGUGUAAUUAUUGAAUGAUAGAUUCUUGGGAUGUACAUAGAGAAAUAAUCCACACAUCUUCUCUGUUUUGGAACAUGAAUAAAGAACUAUGUUAUUACUUCAUGAAUUUUUCUUUUUUUAACUGCAAAUACUUGGACGGAUAUAUGAUAACCAACAUCAAUUUGAGUUUUAAAACUUAUUUGUAUCUUUAUUAAAAUCUAAAAUUUGCUUGAACACAUGAAAGCAUUUUAUAAAUUGUGAAUAAAUGACAUCUCAUUCAAUAGUUAGAUUUAGGGGCGACAAACGUGUAGGAUAAGUUUGGAUAAAUUAAAAUUAGUCUUGUAAAUACAUGAAUCGUGAUUUAACUAGAUCGAAGUUUGUUGUGUUGAAAUUUAUUGAAUCAAAUAUUACGUCAUAGCAAAAUAUGCCAAACAUAUGUGUUUAAAUGUCGAACAUUGUACACUUUGUGGGUCAAUUAACACAUUUAGAGGUGUCAAAUAAGUAUAUCUAAUCAAGUUUCAGUGAGUAAUUAAAACGAAUUCAGUCAAUAAAUAAACUGUGAUAUUAAUUUUAUUCAAAGUUUGCUGGAAUCAUGGGUCAAACGAUAGAUCACACUGAUUCACCAACUAAGUUUUGCGAUUGAGUGGCUAUACUUUGGUCAAAGUUUACACCUAGAUUAUUGACACAAUCGAUGUAAAAAAGUGCACAACCACUUAUAAAUGAUUAGCUUUUUUUACUUUCAUGAGAUAUAUUUUUAUCUUAUUUUUUUCUUCCUUUAUGUAGUUAUUUUUGAAUAGCCGUGGAAUGUGAGUCAACUUGUAUGUUUAUCAAGAAAGGACAUUUUAGGGCAUAAAUGGGUCACGAUAACAAGAUUUUAGAAUUGAUAUUAGGCUCUGAAGCUUCAACUUUCACCGAGUCACCAAAAUUAUAUAUAACAUCUCAAAGGUUGAUAACUUUGGAGCCUAAUACUCUCCUGAAAUCUUAGUACCUUGAUUCAACCUUAACGAUGUUUAUUCUUCCUUUAUACCAUUAUCUUUUAAUAGCUGUACCACGUGAGCUAACUUGUAUGUUUGUCAACUGUAAGGCAUAAAUGGAUUAAGAUAACAAGUUUUCAGGAUUGGUAUUAGGCUAUGAAGCUUCAACUUUCAUCAAGUCUCCCAAAUUAUAUAUGGCAUCUCCAAGAUUGAUAAUUUUAGAGUCCAAUCCUCUCCUGAAGUCUUAGUACCUUGAUUCAACCUUAAAAUUGUUUUUGCUUUCUUUAUGUCAUUAUCUUUGAAUAGUUGUAGCAUGUGAGUCAAUUUGUAAGUUUAUCAAGAAAGGACACUUUAAGGCAUAAAUGGAUCAAGAUAACAAGGUUUCAGGAUUGGUAUUAGGCUCUAAAGCUUCAACUUUGACCAAGUCUCUAAAAUUAAUAUGGCAUUCCAAGAUUGAUAAUUUGGAGCCCAACCCUCUCCUGAAAUCUUAGUACCUUGGUUCAACCUUAAAGUUGUUUUAUCUUCCUUUAUGUUUAUCUUUAAAUAGUUGUAGCAUAUGAGUCAGCUUGCAUGUUUAUCUGGAAAGAGCACUUUAAGGAAUAAAUGAGUCAAGAUAACCAAGUUCCAGGAAUGGUCUUAGGCUCUGAAGCUUCAACUUUCACCAAGUCUCCAAUAUUAUAUGUGGCAUCUCCGAGGUUGAUAAUUUUAGAGCCUAAUCCUUUCCAGAAAUCUUAGUAUCUUGAUUCAACCUUAAAGACGUUUUUUCUUCUUUUAUGCCAUUGUCUUUGAAUAGUUGUAGCAUGUGAGUUAACUUGUAUGUUUAUCAAGAAAGGACACUUUAAGACAUAAUUUUCAAGAUAAAAAGGGUUCAGGAUUGGUAUAGGCUCUGUAGCAUCAACUUUCACCAAGUCUCCAAAAUUCUAUAUGACAUCUCCAAUGUUGAUAACUUUGGAGCCUUCUCUUGAAAUCUUAAUACCUUGAUUCAACUGUAAAGUUGUUUUUCUUCCUUUAUGCAAUUAUCUUUGAAUAGUUGUGGCAUGUGAGUCAACUUUAAUGUUUAUCUGGAAAGGGCACUUUAACACAUAAAUGGGUCAAGAUAACAAGGCUUCAGAUUGGCUUAGGCUUUGAAGCUUCAACUUCCACCAAGUCUCCAAAAUUAUAUAUGGUAUCUCCAAGCUCCAAUCUCGUUGGCAAUAGCUUCAACUAUUUCAAAAACGAAUCUGCAACGGUUCACCAGAGAGCCUCCAUACUGGUGACAGAGCUCCACGGAUCUCAAUCCAAUCAAAACCUACAAAUGCAACAAUAAAUACAUGAAAAAUUUAGAAAUUUGUUAGUGGAUGGAUUAAAGGAGCACAAGGAUAUACUAAUUUAAGAUUGCAUAUGUUUUGUCGAAUAUUACAAUGACCAUUAUCAACAAUCUUGUCAAAACCUGAGUGAUCAAAGGAUCAUCUUUGUCUCUACAUGGCUUGAAUUCAUCCUUCAUGAUUUGGUGUUUAUCUUAAACCUUGGGUCCUUGUUAAAUGUGAUAAUUUUUGAGUUUUGAACCUAGUUCACAAUCCUGUAUUUCUUGUCAUUGUAACAUAUUGCUUUCAAUUAUAUUUUGUACGAGAGAAUCUCGAUGGAGAUAUAGGCAUAUAGCGUUGUAUAAUUAUCAUCACGUUAAUAUUAUAAUUUAACAUGAAUUCUAGUC